AACGAACGCUGGCGGCAGGCUUAACACAUGCAAGUCGAACGCAUCCUUCGGGGUGAGUGGCAGACGGGUGAGUAACGCGUGGGAACGUGCCCUUCAGUUCGGAAUAACCCAGGGAAACUUGGGCUAAUACCGGAUACGUGCGAGAGCAGAAAGAUUUAUCGCUGAAGGAUCGGCCCGCGUCUGAUUAGCUAGUUGGUGAGGUAAUGGCUCACCAAGGCGACGAUCAGUAGCUGGUCUGAGAGGAUGAUCAGCCACAUUGGGACUGAGACACGGCCCAAACUCCUACGGGAGGCAGCAGUGGGGAAUAUUGGACAAUGGGCGCAAGCCUGAUCCAGCCAUGCCGCGUGAGUGAUGAAGGCCUUAGGGUUGUAAAGCUCUUUCAGUGGGGACGAUAAUGACGGUACCCGCAGAAGAAGCCCCGGCUAACUUCGUGCCAGCCGCCGCAGUAA
rnacentral:rRNA from 1 species